AUUGCCCCCAGAGGCGUUACAGAUGUGACUGCUGUGUCACAGAUGUGUCAUUGGGUGGCAUAUAUUAACUGACUGCGUCUACGCUCGUGUGCCCUUUCUAGUGGGCACUCAGAAUGAUUACCAGUCAUACAUA